CGGGUUAUUGAAAGGGUCCAUUAUAGGUUGCACGUUUAAAGGGAUUUUACCCAUGUGUAGCUGCACGUUCUAUUAAUAAUGGACCGAAAGAGAUUGACCAAUUCUAGUUUGAAAGAAGUGUACGUUGCAUGAAAGAAUUAGUCUAGAUGUUUACCACCUUUUUAGGAGUGAAUUAGUAUUUUAUUGUUAUUUAUCAUUCCCACGUAUGGGAUAUGUAAGGCUAUAUAUAUAGCUCAAUUCCUUUUUGUUUUAUCAAAUAGUGCAAGCUUUCCUUUCACGUUCUGCAUAUCAAUUUCACAUUCACAUACAGUGAGAGUUUGAGUGUGAGUUGUGAGUGUGUGUGGAGUGGGACCUGAACCAACAUAUAUAUAUAUGUAUGUAUGUAUAGGUGUUUGUGAGGGGGUGAGGCCUGGCUUGGGCGGCUGUGGGCGGACGAAGAGGACGGCCCUGGACCGGCGACGGAGCAAGGGGGUGGCAAGGAUGGGGCGGCGGCAAGGGGAUGGGCCUGGGGACGAGCCCCAUACCGUCCGGUCUAAGUAUCCCUAUUAUGCCAUGAUCAGUUAGCCUGGUACUUCCAACACCUCAUGCUACUCAUCCUAAUCCAGAGAUUGCUGCUUUAAAAGAAAUAAAAUGGAUACAAUGGAGGCAUGAGACAUUGAGACGUGACUCAUGAAGUGAACAUGUAGACAAGAUGCAUAGGGAUUUCAGCUCUUAAUGAACGUUUUAAACCUCGUACUGGUUUAACACUUAAUGAUUCAGAUUGUUUGUUUCACAAGAUGUCUGAAUGGUUAAGCAUUAUAUUAAGUCUGAAUUGGUCAGACAUUUGUCUCUAAAUGGUUAAGCAUCUUUUAUUGAUUCAACACUUAAUAGUUCA